rnacentral:rRNA from 1 species
UCCGUAGGGUGAACCUGCGGAGGGAUCAUUACACAAUAAAAUACGAAGGCCGUUCGCGGCUGGACUAUUUAUUACCCUUGUCUUUUGCGCACUUGUUGUUUCCUGGGCGGGUUCGCUCGCCACCAGGACCACAAUAUAAACCUUUUUUAUGCAGUUGCAAUCAGCGUCAGUAUAACAAAUGUAAAUCAUUUACAACUUUCAACAACGGAUCUCUUGGUUCUGGCAUCGAUGAAGAACGCAGCGAAAUGCGAUACGUAGUGUGAAUUGCAGAAUUCAGUGAAUCAUCGAAUCUUUGAACGCACAUUGCGCCCUUUGGUAUUCCAAAGGGCAUGCCUGUUCGAGCGUCAUUUGUACCCUCAAGCUUUGCUUGGUGUUGGGCGUUUUUGUCUUUGGCCCGCCAAAGACUCGCCUUAAAAUGAUUGGCAGCCGGCCUACUGGUUUCGCAGCGCAGCACAUUUUUGCGCUUGCAAUCAGCAAAAGAGGACGGCAAUCCAUCAAGACUCCUUCUCACGUUUGACCUCGGAUCAGGUAGGGAUACCCGCUGAACUUAAGCAUAUCAAUAAGCGGAGGAA